rnacentral:rRNA from 1 species
GGGGAAUAUUGCACAAUGGGCGAAAGCCUGAUGCAGCGACGCCGCGUGAGGGAUGACGGCCUUCGGGUUGUAAACCUCUUUCAGCAGGGAAGAAGCGAAAGUGACGGUACCUGCAGAAGAAGCGCCGGCUAACUACGUGCCAGCAGCCGCGGUAAUACGUAGGGCGCAAGCGUUGUCCGGAAUUAUUGGGCGUAAAGAGCUCGUAGGCGGUUAGUCGCGUCUGGCUGUGAAAACUCGAGGCUCAACCUCGGGCUUGCAGUGGGUACGGGCUGACUGGGGGGCGGUAGGGGGAACGGGAUUCCCUGGGGAGGGGUUGAAAUGGGCAGAAAUAAGAGGGACCCCGAUGGGGGAGGGCGGGUAACUGGGCGGAAAUGGAGGCUAAGGGGGGAAGCAUGGGGAGCGAACA